rnacentral:rRNA from 1 species
UACGGAGGGUGCAAGCGUUAAUCGGAAUUACUGGGCGUAAAGCGCGCGUAGGCGGCUUUUUAAGUCAGAAGUGAAAUCCCACCGCUUACCGGUGGAAUUGCUUUUGAAACUGGAAGGCUUGAGUUCGUGAGAGGAUGGCGGAAUUCCUGGUGUAGGAGUGAAAUCCGUAGAGAUCAGGAGGAACCCCGGUGGCGAAGGCGGCCAUCUGGCACGAUACUGACGCUGAGGUG